rnacentral:rRNA from 1 species
UACGUAGGGCAGCAAGCGUUGUUCGGAAUUACUGGGCGUAAAGGAGUGUGUAGGCGGAUGCUUCUAAGUUUGGAUCGUGAAAUCUCCCGCUUAACUGGGAGGGUGCGCCAGAAAACUGGAAUUGCUUGAACAUGGGAGAGGAAAGCGGAAUUCCUGGUGUAGCGGUGAAAUGCGUAGAUAUCAGGAGGAACACCUGCGGUGUAGAUCGGCUUUCGUGGACCAUUGUUGACGCUGAGACACGAAAAGCGGUGGGUAGCAAACAGG